CAAAAUUCUCUUAAUUAUCAAACAAAGCAGACGAACAGUAUUUGUGUGUAAUUUCUUGUAAAAAGCUACUCUUCUGAAGGAUGGUGUGACUAAUUAUUAACGCUGGGCGCUAUGUGGCCAGGAAAAUUUCAGCCGUGUUUUCCAAGUCAAGCGAUAAAGCCCAGUCACAAGAAGCUACGGAGGAAUCAAGUUCGGAGCCAAGAUCGUUAAAAUUCUCUCCAGCGGCUGUAAGUAGUGAAACGGAAACAUCUGCUCACCAGUGGAAGGAUUCUACCGAAAAUGCCAAUGGAAGUAAUGUCAGACAUGUAAAUGAAGAAGGAGUUACGACAUAGAGAGCAUUUUAAUCAACACACAUAUAACGCAGAGGACUUCUUUUGUUUUUUUUCUAAUUCAAUGCUUCAUUAGCAGAACUUUAAAGCUAAAGUCAAGCCCUGAAGGCAAUUGUAAGAAGUGAUAGAAGCCUUCAGCUGAUUUAUCUGCCUUCUUGUUAAUGAUUUUGGAUCAAUGCUAGUAUUUGUGGAACAGUGCACUUUCUCAAGCCUUCCCUAACCCAACAACAGUCAAGUGAUAAAAUUGGGUUAAUGUUGGGUUAGGUCAUUUGAAGAGGGGAAGAUGUGCAGUGAGUGGCUCAGUUACUGAGAUACCAUAUUUAUGUUCCAUCUUACUUUUUUUUCCUUUUUUUUGGAUCAAUGUCAGUAUCUGAGCAAUUUUGCACUUACUCUUCCCCUAACCCAACAGCAGUCAAGUGAUGACAAACUAGGUAUUUUUUUUAGUAGGAGAGGGGUAGAUGUGUAGUUACUUGAAUAGUGGCAUUGAUCCAAUGAUUUUUUUAGCUGUUAACUUUCCUGUCUGCCUUGUUGUGCAUCUUUGCUGCUGAUCAACAUUUACACUGGUGUUUAUGAUAGUAUUGCUGCAAAGUUCCUUCAAAUGAAAUGUAGCUUUACCUGAUUAGAAGAUUACACCAGUUUUAAUUGUUGAUCAUUUGAAACUUACAGCUGUGAAAUUUUUUGACAACAAUUUACUUCAUGAAUUUAUGCAUGCAGAGCAUUGUAUACACAUAAGCUGCAAACUAAAUGCUGGCUCUUAUUGACCAUAGCAUAGAAAGUAUCUGUGACAGGGAGGGAAAAUAAAUGUGAUAAAACUGCUGGAUAA